GGUGGUUCAGUGGUAGAGCGUUUGCCUCGCAUGCAUGAGGCCCUGGGUUCGAUUCCUCAGCACCA
rnacentral:tRNA from 1 species